rnacentral:rRNA from 1 species
UACGUAGGGUGCAAGCGUUAAUCGGAAUUACUGGGCGUAAAGCGUGCGCAGGCGGUUCGCUAAGACCGAUGUGAAAUCCCCGGGCUUAACCUGGGAACUGCAUUGGUGACUGGCGGGCUAGAGUAUGGCAGAGGGGGGUAGAAUUCCACGUGUAGCAGUGAAAUGCGUAGAGAUGUGGAGGAAUACCGAUGGCGAAGGCAGCCCCCUGGGCCAAUACUGACGCUCAUGCACGAAAGCGUGGGGGGCAAACAGG